rnacentral:rRNA from 1 species
UUAUCAAAAACAUGUCUUUUUGAGUUAUUUUUAAAGUCUGACCUGCCCACUGAGUAUUUUAAAUGGCCGCAGUAUACUAACUGUGCAAAGGUAGCAUAAUCAUUAGUCUUUUAAUUGAAGGCUGGUAUGAACGGUUGGACGAGGUAUAAGCUGUUUCAUGUAAAAUUAUAUUAGAAUUUUAUAUUUUAGUCAAAAAGCUAAAAUAUCAUUAAAAGACGAGAAGACCCUAUAAAUCUUUAUAUUUUGUUUUAUUUAAUUUUUUUGGGUUUAUUUUAUUUUUAUAAUAUUGAAUAUUUUGUUGGGGUGAUGUUAAAAUUUAAUGAACUUUUAAUUAUUUAAAAUCAUUAAUUUAUGAGUUAUUGAUCCAUUAAUAAUGAUUAUAAGAUUAAGUUACUUUAGGGAUAACAGCGUAAUUUUUUUGGAGAGUUCAUAUCGAUAAAAAAGUUUGCGACCUCGAUGUUGGAUUAAGAUAUAUUUUUAGGUGUAGCCGCUUAAAUGUUAAGUCUGUUCGACUUUUAAAUUCUUACGUGAUCUGAGUUC